UCCUAACAACUAUACGUUCUGUUUCUUCGCGCCGUCACCACGCUACCCCCGUUCUCAUUGUAGACCGCGACAGCCACCGCCAUUGAUGCAGGAGACCGUCACAACCUGGCCGCCGGACAACCGCACGCCGCGUGGCCCUGUAUCGCACCAUACUCAUCUCUGAACGCUGCGUCUUCUUUGCGUCGUCUGUGGUCUGCUAUCAACGAAUCCAACGCUACCAUUUUCUCUGUUUGAUCGCGACGCUUCUCUUUGUCCCCGGUCAACGUCCACCACGUCUUCUUGAUUGACUCAUCUCUUGCUGCUGAUGCUUCUCACUACAAAGACUCUAAGGCCUAUCACAAGGAUAUAAACCUCCUUCCUAAGAUGGAUUAAAGGUGCGAGUGGCCUAUCAGGAUCUUCCAGGAGCAUAUAGUGAGGACGCAGCAUUGAAAGCAUAUCCAAAAUGUGAGAUUGUGCCAUAUGACAAAUUUGAAGAAUGCUAGAGAUUUGGAAUAUAAUUAUUAAGUUUUUAGUUGGUUGGAUUAGAUUCAAGUAAAUACAAUUAAAUUAUGUUAGAUGUUCAUUUUACUAGGUAUACAAAUGGUUAUUUUCAUUGUUAAGUGGAUGUUUGGUUUAUAGUAUUAGAUUCAAGUAGAUAUAAUUAAAUUAUA